rnacentral:pre_miRNA from 1 species
AAUGGAAUUGCUGGGUCAUAUGGUAACUUUAAGUAAAACAUUUUGAAGACCUGCCAGACUGUUUUCCAGAGUUAUCUCACCAUUUUACAUCCCCAGCAAG